GCUGUUGCUUCGGGUUGAAACCGGAAUGCUGCCAGGAUGCCGGCCUACCACUCUACUCUCAUGGACCCAGAUACCAAACUCAUUGGAAACAUAGCACUGUUGCCCAUCAGAAGUCAGUUCAAAGGACCCGCUCCUCGAGAAACAAAAGAUACAGAUAUUGUGGAUGAAGCCAUCUAUUACUUCAAGGCCAAUGUCUUCUUCAAAAACUACGAAAUCAAGAAUGAAGCCGACAGGACCUUGAUCUAUAUCACUCUCUACAUUUCUGAGUGUCUAAAGAAACUCCAAAAGUGCAAUUCCAAAAGCCAAGGUGAGAAAGAAAUGUACACACUGGGAAUCAUGAACUUUCCCAUUCCUGGAGAGCCCGGCUUUCCCCUCAAUGCAAUUUAUGCCAAACCUGCAAACAAACAGGAAGAUGAAGUGAUGCGAGCGUACCUCCAGCAGCUGAGGCAAGAGACUGGACUGAGACUUUGUGACAAAGUUUUUGACCCUCAGAACGAUAAACCCAGCAAGUGGUGGACUUGCUUUGUGAAGAGACAGUUCAUGAACAAGAGUCUUUCAGGACCUGGGCAGUGAAGGAAGCCUGAGCAGCACUGCUUGACAGCAGGAUGUACACAGUCCUCUGCCUUUGUUUCAUACAGUUCCCUAUGGAAGAGAGAAGAGAGUGCU